rnacentral:rRNA from 1 species
UACGAAGGGGGGCUAGCGUUGUUCGGAAUUACUGGGCGUAAAGCGCACGUAGGCGGAUAUUUAAGUCAGGGGUGAAAUCCCAGAGCUCAACUCUGGAACUGCCUUUGAUACUGGGUAUCUUGAGUAUGGGAAGAGGUAAGUGGAAUUGCGAGUGUAGAGGUGAAAAUCGUAGAUAUUCGCAGGAACACCAGUGGCGAAGGCGGCUUACUGGUCCAUUACUGACGCUGAGGUGCGAAAGCGUGGGGAGCAACAGG